rnacentral:rRNA from 1 species
UCGAUUUGGAGUUUGUUGCCUAGAGUGAUGGGCUCCGAAGCUAACGCGAUAAAUCGACCGCCUGGGGAGUACGGCCGCAAGGUUAAAACUCAAAUGAAUUGACGGGGGCCCGCACAAGCGGUGGAGCAUGUGGUUUAAUUCGAUGCAACGCGAAGAACCUUACCUGGUCUUGACAUCCACAGAAUUUUUCAGAGAUGAGAGAGUGCCUUCGGGAACUGUGAGACAGGUGCUGCAUGGCUGUCGUCAGCUCGUGUUGUGAAAUGUUGGGUUAAGUCCCGCAACGAGCGCAACCCUUAUCCUUUGUUGCCAGCGAUUAGGUCGGGAACUCAAAGGAGACUGCCGUUGAUAAAACGGAGGAAGGUGGGGACGACGUCAAGUCAUCAUGGCCCUUACGACCAGGGCUACACACGUGCUACAAUGGCGUAUACAAAGGGAAGCGAAGGUGCGAGCUGGAGCGGACCUCCUAAAGUACGUCUAAGUCCGGAUUGGAGUCUGCAACUCGACUCCAUGAAGUCGGAAUCGCUAGUAAUCGUGAAUCAGAAUGUCACGGUGAAUACGUUCCCGGGCCU